rnacentral:rRNA from 1 species
CGGAGAGGCCCACUGACAUGAAUUGAAAUAUGAAGUGCUUGCACUGAUUAUGGAUUUCGUUGAUGUGGAUUUCCUCUUAGUGGCAGACGGGUGAGUAACACGUGGGUAAUCUACCUUAGGGACUGGGACAACAGUUGGAAACGACUGCUAAUACCGGAUGAUUCAUAUUUACACAAGUAGAUAUGCUAAAAGGGGCUUCGGCCUCACCUUAAGAUGAGCUUGCGGUGUAUUAGCUAGUUGGUGGGGUAAUGGCCUACCAAGGCAACGAUGCAUAUCCGAGCUGAGAGGCUGAUCGGACACAUUGGGACUGAGACACGGCCCAGACUCCUACGGGAGACAGCAGUUAGGAAUAUUCGUCAAUGGGGGAAACCCUGAACGAGCAAUGCCGCGUGAGUGAAUGACGGUCUUAUAGAUUGUAAAACUCUGUUACAAAGGACGAAACCUUACCAUAGGUAAUGAUGGUAAGCUGACGGUACUUUGCCAGAAAGCCCCGGCUAACUACGUGCCAGCAGCUGC